rnacentral:rRNA from 1 species
GACGGAGGGUGCAAGCGUUGUUCGGAAUUACUGGGCGUAAAGGGCGCGUAGGCGGUCUGUUAAGUUCGGUGUGAAAGCCCCCGGCUCACCUGGGGAACUGCGCCGGAAACCGACAGACUCGAGUACCGGAGAGGAGGGUGGAAUUCCUGGUGUAGCGGUGAAAUGCGUAGAUAUCGGGAAGAACACCUGAGGCGAAGGCGGGUUGCUGGGCCGACACUGACGCUGAGGCGCGAAAGCCAGGGGAGCGAACGGG